UUUGAAGCACGAGGGGAUCUACAAUUCCAUGGUCUUUUGAAGCACUAGGGGAAGGAGAAGUUUGGUAAUGCUUAUCGCCAGUGGCAGAAGGAUGCACCCAAUUUUAACAUUGAUGGCCAUUAUCCGGUAAAAGAACUUUGGGACCGAGCCAAAAGCUGCCGGAGUAAAAUUUUAGCUCAUAAAGGCAAGUCUGUCAUUGUUGUUGCUCACAACGCAACUAAUCAAGCCCUUGUUGAAACAACAUUAGGAUUAGGCAUGGACUACUUCAGGGUAAUGCUUCAGAGCAACUGUGGAGUGAGUGUGCUGGAUUUCACUCGAAAACCUCGAGAUGACUCUCCCCAUGUAUGCAUCAAUAGGUUAAAUCAGGUAAAUAUUUGGUUUAUCCACAUGUCAUAAUAGUUUGAAAUUGGAUGAGAUAGAAAAAUGAGGUUCCCUUCCAAUGUAUUCAAUAUCCAUGGCUUGAGCUUGUCUAUCAUCAGAAUGCUUUCUGCAAAUAUCAAGUGCUGCUGGAACUUUCUUGAUUUAAUUUUUCUCCAUAGUUAUCUCAGAUAUCAGUAAUGAUAGUAGUAGGUCAUAAUCCUCACAUGCCUAUUCCUUGAUGCUGCGCCUACUCUUUUGUACUACUUUCAUGCCAUCUACUGUUUACCGUCUAAUAUUUCUUUAAAUAACAUCAGUUUUAUGAUGGAGAUCUCUAUUUUCUGUCAGUAAAAUGGAACUUUUCUAUCAUAUGAUGCUUUUCUUUGAUGUGGCUGCAGACCCCAAAUUCACCUAUCGCUGGGGGGGACUUCAGCUGGAAGAAAAACUUCCAAGAAUAACUUCCAAGAAAAACUACCAAUCCAGGGCCAAAGGAGCUUCCAAUGCAGUGCUUUAUUAAGAGAAAUAAGAAGAACUCUACAUUCUAUCUUUAUCUCACCUUGAACCAAAAUCUGAUUUCGUGGGCAAUAAGUUCACAAUAUACGACAGCCGCCCACCUUUCACUAUCGCAAAAGCAUCAAGUAGUCGGAGGAGCCGACGCUUCACCAGCAAGCAAAUCAGCCCACAAUCUUCGGCUGGUAAUUUCAAGAUUGGUCAUGCAUACAAAUUCAACCUUCUCAAAUCUUGAAGACCAAGAAGAAUGUUUUGCAGAUUACAAUGCCCUCCAACCGAAGAAUCCACCAAAGGAGAAGAAUCAUCUCAACCUCUUGUCUGUGGUAUUGAGGAACAAAGCUCCUCGAUGGCAUGAGCAUCUUCAAUGCUGGUGCUUGAAUUUUCACGGGAGGGUAACCGUUGCUUCUGUGAAGAAUUUUUAGCUUGUUGCAGCUUCGAAUCCAUGUCAAGUGAAUGGGGUUAGAGAAGAUGAGACAAUGCUGCUCCAAUUUGGGAAAGUUGAAGAUGAUAUGUUCACAAUGGACUAUAGGCAACCACUCGGCUUUUCAGGCUUUUGCCAUUUGCCUCACUAGCUUUGGUACAAAGUGUUCAUGUGAAUAGAAAUGCUUAGCUCAUAAUUUAAUGUUGCGGUUAUGUUGGUGGACAUAAAUUGGGCAAGCGUGUUGUAUAUUUUCGAUGUAUGAACGUUGUUGCUUUUGGACCAACUAGGGAUAUGUUGAAGCAGCUACUGGCAUCACUAUUUCUGUUGGACAUUUCUUAUGUAUUAUAAAGAAAGCAUGGCCUUGGUCCUUGAGUCUUGGAGUAUGUAUGACUUUCAAGUGGUUUGCUUUAUGUACAGAGAUUGACACGAGCAAUUAUAGGAUGAACUUAAAUGAA